rnacentral:RNase_P_RNA from 1 species
AAAGCUCUCUGAUCUAUCGCGGCAAUUUUAGGAUUGACGAGGAAAGUCGGGGCAACACAGGGCACCAUACUUCUUAACGGGAAGGGCUCGAUUUAUCGAGAACAGAAAGUGCAGCAGAAAGUAAACCGCCAUGGCAUCUCGAUGUCAGGGUAAGGGUGAAACCGUGGGGUAAGAGCCUACGCUUGCUAUAGGCGACUAUAGCUCGAUGUAAACCUUAUGGGUUGAAAGACCAAAUAAACCGGAGAUUUUUCGCGCGUCGGAAAGGGAGGUCUGCCCGGCCAAAUCCGGAGGGUAGGUUGAUAGAGGUAUUGAGCAAUUAAUACCCUAGAUAAAUGAUAGACUCCGUCUUAGGACGGAAACAGAACCCCGCUUAUAGGAGAGCUUUUAUU